rnacentral:tRNA from 1 species
CCGCCGCAGCGUGGCGGCGCACCUGUACUCGCAUUCCUGGACGAACACGAGGUCCGGUUCCUCGCGGCGGAC